CCUACGGGUGGCAGCAGUAGGGAAUAUUGCUCAAUGGGGGAAAGCCUGAAGCAGCAACGCCGCGUGAAGGAUGAAGGCUUUCGGGUUGUAAACUCCUUUUGUUAGAGAAGAUAAUGACGGUAUGUAACGAAUAAGCACCGGCUAACUCCGUGACAGCAGCCGCGGUAAUACGGAGGGUGCCGGCGUUAUUCGGAAUCACUGGGCGUAAAGGGCGCGUAGGGGGGAUAGUAAGUCAGUUGUGAAAGUCUAUGGCUUAACCAUAGAACUGCAGUUGAAACUGGUAUUCUAGAGUAGGGGAGAGGUAGGUGGAAUUCUUGGUGUAGGGGUGAAAUGCGUAGAGAUCAAGAAGAAUACUCAUUGCGAAGGCGGCCUGCUAGAACAUAACUGACGCUGAUGCGCGAAAGCGUGGGGAGCAAACAGGAUUAGAUACCCUUGUAGUC
rnacentral:rRNA from 1 species